rnacentral:misc_RNA from 1 species
AAAAAAAAAAAGAAAAAAAAUCCUCCCUCCCUCUUCCCACCACUACCUUCAUCUUACCAAGAGAUUUUUUUGAGCACUUAGCUUGUUCUUACCCUUUAUUAAAUAUAGAUGAAUUUGCUUGAGAAACUCUUAGUACAUUAUAAUGAUAUAUAUCAUGUAUAUACUGGUUUCCAGUUGUGGAUACUGAUUAAUGCACAUGUAGUUGGAUAGUGUUCAAAUUCUAGUCUGUGGAGGUUAUAGUGGGUUCAUUAUGCUUAUGUAUAUCUUCUUGUAUACUCCAAAUCUUGUUUUCAAAAUUUUUGGCAUUAGUAUUGUCUUCACAACUAAUUGGAGGCAGCAGGACUUUUGUAUAAGAUUAUUAGUCACGCCUUGUGCUGUUAGCUGUUACAUAUGGUGCUUGGUGAAUGGAAUUUGAAAAUUGCAUGAUGGAUUUUCGUGUAUGCGCACAUCCAACAUAAAAUCAAAAGUCAACACAGAGAAUGGCAGAUGCCAAAAGAUUGGGUGAUUGCACAUGUUAGGAUUCAAAAUCUUAUUGCUACGAUUAUUUUGGCCUCUGUAUUAGGACCUGCCUGGGUUGAAUAAAGUCUAAACCAAAAUGCAAAUAUAAGCUCCUGUUAUCUGUCCAUAUCUAUUUUGAAUUGGAAAGUGCAUACGUCCACAUGCUGCACUGAAUGUUAACUUGUACUUUUGAAGGGUUUGCUUGUAGAUUUGAACAGAACGCCUCUAUAUGUCUUGGAGAUCUGAGUUUGCAGCAGUGUUGCAGACUUUUUAUUUUCCUUUGCAAAUUCCAACAUUUUUCAGUAGGCAAAGUAUAUUUAUUCGUUAAAUUAAUGUUUGUAGAGAUUGUGUACUGUGUAAUUUGCAUAUUGUGCAUUUAAAUAUACAUGAGAACAAAUUAACAAUGCCAAGUUAAGCAAUGAGACAUAAGAUUGUGGUGUGAUUUGCAGGCAGCAAGUUUGAAAAUUGCUG